rnacentral:rRNA from 1 species
UACGUAGGGUGCGAGCGUUAAUCGGAAUUACUGGGCGUAAAGCGUGCGCAGGCGGUUUGGUAAGACAGAUGUGAAAUCCCCGAGCUUAACUUGGGAACUGCAUUUGUGACUGCCCGGCUAGAGUGUGUCAGAGGGGGGUAGAAUUCCACGUGUAGCAGUGAAAUGCGUAGAGAUGUGGAGGAAUACCGAUGGCGAAGGCAGCCCCCUGGGAUAACACUGACGCUCAUGCACGAAGGCGUGGGGAGCAAACAGG